AACAUCGUGGAGAAACAGAAAAGCAACGCAGAGAAAAGCAGCAGCACAAUGCCAACUGCAGUUGAGGCAGGGAGGAGAAUCCACUCCACAAGAAGAAGUUAUGCUGGAAUUCAGAGACUGUGAUUGCUUGAAGAUCCUGGAAUUAACAUCACUCAGAAAUGGCUUGCCCUUGCGGGGAAGGCCUGGGCUGCGCCCUCAGUCAGAGACACAUCGGACUGUGGAGGUCAGCAGUGGUUCAACUUUCCUGCUCAGUGGUUUUGGAGGAUUUCAGUACCUGCUAAGAUUGUGUAUGUGGACUGUAUGGCUCAAGACUCACGUGGCUGAGAAGGUUAUAUCUCCAUUCCUGCUGCUCCCUUCUGCUUCCUGGCUGCUAUGAUGAGAGAAGCUUCCGCUGCUCAGGCCCUUCCACCUUGCAGCCAGAGGAUUAUGGACUAAAAAUGACUUCCAAAGGGACUUUAAAGAGGUGACUAAGUUCAACAUGACCAUGGGUUGGCUUCAGCCAAUCUGACUGGUGUCUUCAUAAGAAGAGGAGCUCAGGACACGGAGAGGCACCAGAGAUGGGCACGCCCAGAGGAGAGACCAGCUGGGGACACAGGAGAAGGUGGCCAUCAGCAAGCCCAGGAGAGAGGCCUCUGAGACAGGAACUCUCCACACCCCUUGACCCGGGACUCUCGCCUCCAGACUGUGAGAAAGGAGGGACCUGCUGUUUGUCUCUCGGUGUGUGGUACUUCUUAUGGCAGCUGUAGUAAGAGACAUAAAUAAUAUUGUGUGAUGAGAAUAUGAGCAAACACAUUUUUAAAUAUGGCUCUGGGUAGUUCUUCACGGAACAGGGGACUAGGAAAUAGCAGUGGGUGGUGAGGGUCACUGCUGAAGAAAGGCU